rnacentral:rRNA from 1 species
AUUGAACGCUGGCGGCAUGCCUUACACAUGCAAGUCGAACGGUAACGGGUCCUUCGGGAUGCCGACGAGCGGCGAACGGGUGAGUAAUAUAUCGGAACGUGCCCAGUAGUGGGGGAUAACUGCUCGAAAGAGCAGCUAAUACCGCAUACGACCUGAGGGUGAAAGGGGGGGAUCGCAAGACCUCUCGCUAUUGGAGCGGCCGAUAUCAGAUUAGCUAGUUGGUGGGGUAAAGGCCUACCAAGGCAACGAUCUGUAGUUGGUCUGAGAGGACGACCAGCCACACUGGGACUGAGACACGGCCCAGACUCCUACGGGAGGCAGCAGUGGGGAAGUUUGGACAAUGGGCGCAAGCCUGAUCCAGCAAUGCCGCGUGCAGGAAGAAGGCCUUCGGGUUGUAAACUGCUUUUGUCAGGGAAGAAAUCUUCUGGGCUAAUACCCCGGGAGGAUGACGGUACCUGAAGAAUAAGCACCGGCUAACCACGUGCCAGCCGCCGCGGUAA